GCCAGGCGCAGUGGUGUGUGCCUGUAGUCCCAGCUACUUGAGAGGCUGAGGCUGGAGGAUCGCUUGAGUCCAGGAGUUCUGGGCUGUAAUGCGCUAUGCCAAUUGGGUGUCUGCACUAAGUUCAGCAUCAAUAUGAUGACCUCCUGGGAGUGGGGGACCACCAGGUUGCCUAAGGAGGGGUAAACCGGCCCAGGUUGGAAAUGGAGGAGGUCAAAACUCCUGGGCUUAUCAGUAGUGGGAUCUCGCCUGUGAAUAGCCACUGCACUACAGCCUGAGCAACAUAGCGAGACCCU
rnacentral:SRP_RNA from 1 species